rnacentral:rRNA from 1 species
AUGCACGCUGGCGGCGUGCCUAAUACCUGCAAGUCGAGCGAACAGACGAGGAGCUUGCUCCUCUGACGUUAGCGGCGGACGGGUGAGUAACACGUGGAUAACCUACCUAUAAGACUGGGAUAACUUCGAGAAACCGGAGCUAAUACCGGAUAAUAUAUUGAACCGCAUGGUUCAAUAGUGAAAGACGGUUUUGCUGUCACUUAUAGAUGGAUCCGCGCCGCAUUAGCUAGUUGGUAAGGUAACGGCUUACCAAGGCGACGAUGCGUAGCCGACCUGAGAGGGUGAUCGGCCACACUGGAACUGAGACACGGUCCAGACUCCUACGGGAGGCAGCAGUAGGGAAUCUUCCGCAAUGGGCGAAAGCCUGACGGAGCAACGCCGCGUGAGUGAUGAAGGUCUUCGGAUCGUAAAACUCUGUUAUUAGGGAAGAACAAAUGUGUAAGUAACUAUGCACGUCUUGACGGUACCUAAUCAGAAAGCCACGGCUAACUACGUG